GUUCUCGUUCUCUCUCUCUCUCUGCUCCAACACCCCCACCGUUCCUCCUCCACUCCUCCGGGGGGCCAGCGCCCCCCUUCUACCCGUCCCGUAACGUUGGCACACUUACCCUUUGAGCCACUCCAGCACCCAAGCUACCCACCUCUUAUUCAGCAAUAUAAAGCGUACAGUGUGAAACAUCCAAGACAAACAUAAAGGGGACCCGGGAAUCGAACCGGGAACCUUGGCAUUGAAAGACAACGGCGAUACCGUUGCGCCACCUACAUCGUCGUAGACACACGGCUGCUUCAGAGGGUAGAAGAAGAUGAGAUCACAGACACCCAAGACACACCUGAAUGAGAUGCAGGAAACGAACACAGAACACGGAAACGCUUUCAGGUGCGCAUGAUGGUGAUUAGACAUUCCUUGGGGCGGGCGCGGUCUGGAGCCUAUCCAAGCAUGCAGUGAGUGAGAUGCAGGAUUGUACUCUCAACAGGUCUCCAAUCCAUUGCAAGGCAGGCCCACACACCACUUAAGUUUCACUUAACCACUGUGCCAUCCCAAACAUGUUUAUUUCAGAGUGACACACAACAAUAUAAAAUGCAUACAAAUAGUCAUUAGGCACUGGUUGUGAUAGGAGUGAGCCAAAGUUUAGCCUAAAAUUGGGCGCAGCAUUAAAAUUGGUGUAUUAAUCCAGUAAUGUUUUCUCAGAUUCAUACCUUUCCACAAUUAAGAUAAUUAAAAAGCUGUUUACAUAAGAACUUCCCUAGUUUGAGUAUUGCCUUAAUCGGGUUCAACUCUGAUUUUAGUGUGCAUGUAUAGCCGAGAUCUGCGUUUUUCUGCGCUUAAAUGGUGAUUAAUGGCAGGUGAGCGGAUGAGAGGCUGCUCUGUUGCGAGUGCGCUUUUUGUCCACAAGAGGGAGCCAAAUCUAUUGACUUGUACCCUGCAAUAAUUCAGCCAGUGCAUUUCUGCAUGAGCUCUUCCUAGUCGUUUAAUACAGAUGCUCCGACUUAAGCUUACAUUUUCCCCAUAGGGAUUUAAUUUUUUGCCGAAAAUAAGGUCUGUGGUUAACGUAAGUCUAGGAGAGGUCCACGUUUUGUUCUACGAGAUAAAUUACAACCAUUAUUAUCACCACCGUGGAUUUCUAAGCUGUUACGUGCUUUUAAUAGCAUGGGAUUUGUAGUCAAUAAGUAGUUGUGAUCGCUAAAUCGGAUCUGACGUUGGACUUCGAAAGGCCAUGUGCUGCACAACAAUGCUCGACCGAAAGGUAAAUGCAUGUUUUGUUGCAAACCAAAGUUAACUGUAAUGGUUGCCAGCUAACUUGAACUUUACUUGGAAAUACACUUCUCUUUGGUGUCCGAUGUUGUCCUUACAUUGCAUCAAUAAAUGAGUAAGCUAGCGAGCUGUGUAGAUAACAUUAACUAGAUAGCCAACCAGCUACUUAACGUAAGCGAACUAGUUUGUUGUAAGCAGCCAUGCCACUCCACUCCUGUUAAUGUGGCUAAUGUUUAAUGCUUCUGGUCACGUCGUGAAGUAUGCAAGUCUUUUGAGAGAGCUUUUUGUUUAAAUCAUUCUCGUUGUAAGCCACUGUCAGUUUAGCUAACUAAACAUGAUGGCAGGCAUGUUCGCUUUCUCUGGCUGUCCCUCUAAUUUAUAUAAAUUGGAUAGCAGGCAUGUUUACAGUGAUGCACUUCAGUUAGCAGCAAUAACUAGCUGGUUUCCUUGGCUGAAUUGAUUGGUCUGAUAUUUUUGUGACUACAGCUUACAGUUAAUGUACGGAUUUGGCUAAAUGUUGCAUCUGUCGUGUCAGGCAUUAUUCCAUCAUGAUGUUCCAGACUUUCCAGAUUUCAUACCGUCUUAUUACUGUGGUCAAAUAUAAGUACUGUACGUAUAGUGUAUGUUGUACGUACAGUAGUGGUCACAACUGACAGCCCUGUUUCGUAGAUUGAAUGGAUGUGAAAUUGUGCCAUUUGUAGAUAUAGAGACUUGUGGAUUGUUAAAUUAAAUAUUUAUAUCUUUUAUGAA